rnacentral:rRNA from 1 species
ACGAACGCUGGCGGCGUGCUUAACACAUGCAAGUCGAACGGAAAGGCCCCUGCUUUUGUGGGGUGCUCGAGUGGCGAACGGGUGAGUAACACGUGAGUAACCUGCCCUUGACUUUGGGAUAACUUCAGGAAACUGGGGCUAAUACCGGAUAGGAGCUCCUGCUGCAUGGUGGGGGUUGGAAAGUUUCGGCGGUUGGGGAUGGACUCGCGGCUUAUCAGCUUGUUGGUGGGGUAGUGGCUUACCAAGGCUUUUGACGGGUAGCCG